UUGGUGUUUUGGAAAAAAAGUAAAACCGUGUUAGUCUGAGGUCGGGUACAAUGGUUUGCCCUGUUGCUCCCUGUUCCCCCCCCACACACGUACUCCGCAGCCACCUCAUCCUGAAUCCGAACUCAGUUGUGGUCAAGUAGACAACAUACAGUACUCCCUUAGAACAGCCCUCAGCCCUCUCCUCCGCAGAGAGGCGUCCUGGGCAAAUCUUGGUUGUCUUUCCCUUCCCCGGACAACGAUUUGUUUUAUAUUAUUUCCAAAAUUCAUGUCAGCGCCUUCAUUAAGUCAACGCAAAGGUGUUAGCACAGUUUGCGUUGGCACAGUGUUAGCAGUGUCCCCUCCUCCCCGGAAUCCUUUUUGGGACUGAUCUAAGGGGGAUAUUAUUCUAGAAUUGUACUCGUGACCAACAUAGCCACUUUCGCUCUUUGAAGUUUUUAAAAAAGCAAGUCCCGUUUCAUCCACUCUGAAGCGAAGACUCUGCAAUUCCCUUGUGAUCCGUGUGUAACUCAUAGCCCCGAGUUAGAAGGCACCGCAGAGGCAGCGUAAUCCCAAGGACAAAGUUCAGCGCAUCCAACCAUACUUAAAUGAGAAUUUGCACCUAUUAUAAGAUGCUCAGCCACGGAGAGAAUCGGGGCCCUUUCACCAGGGUACCGAAGCACAGUGUCCAUCCUCGCCAGGGUAAGAAGAAGAAGAUCAGCACCUGGGACAGCGCCCCCAGGGAGGAGGGCGCCUGCAGCGCCAGGAGCGCAAGCCGCUGUGCCCAGCCGCCAAUGGGCGAACUUAAGACAUCUCUCCCUCCCUCCUCUCCUUGUUGUUUAAGAGCAGUUCCCCAUCUAUUCUUCCCAUCUGAAGUCAAGCGAGCAUCCUCCCAAGCGCCAGCAAAUCUUGGGUGGCUGGCUGCAAUUUGGAAGGGACGUUUAUUAAGCCCUAAUUUAAUUAACACCCCCCCACACACGGAGAAACCAGACGCCUCCUUGUAUUGCCAAGGCCCGGCAGACUUUUAUUUUUCUUUUUUUAAAAGGAAAGAUCUCCAGGGCCCUUUGCAUCCUACCGUGAGUCAAAACUUCUUGUCCCCCGCCCGCUCGCGCUCCCUCCCCUCCCUCGCUAAAGUACUCCUUCGCCCUUGCAGAGCCUGGACGGGAACCUCCCUGGGGUCUCCAAAUCAGGGUCAAGAAAUAAGCAAAGGCGAGGGCGAAGACGGCCUUUCCACCCCGCCAGCCUGGUACCCUUCACCGUCUCUCACAAUGUCGUGGCUCUUUCAUCCAUUGGCGGGAGAGCCGGAGAGCCCGCUGACAGUGAAGCCUCUUAUUGAGCCCCCCCCCCCCCUCCCGCCCGCUCCUCAUCCCGGAUCGGGGUUCGGUGCCUUCCGAAAACGGAGCGGCGCGCCUGCAGCCAAGCCGCGUUUCCGUUUGCAGCAAAAGAGCAAGCCUGGUUGGGUGGGAAAUGGCUGGAAGAGAGACAUCAGCCGACGAGGAAGAAUUGCUGGAAAAAUGAAGCAGGAAGAGGAAUUGUCAUGGUGAAAUCUAGAACAUACAGUGCAGUUAAAGAGCAUUAGAGUACACAGAUGGAAGCUCAGCCUACCCAUUUCUUUUCCUACCCGGAACUUUAAAUAUGUUUCCAGAUUAGUAUGAGUCCACAAAUUGUUCAUAUACUGUAUUUUACUCGCAGCUUGUUGGGAAAGUUUGUUUUGGCUUUUUUUAGACAUUUGAAAUGUCAGAAGCAUUAAUUGGUAUCCAGUGUGGUGCAGUAGAUAGGAUAAUGGACUUGGACUUAGAAUACCAGGGAUUAAUUCCCUGACUCUGCCAUGAAACUCACUGGAGGUAAAACUGGAAAAAAAACAACUAUCUCACUUAACUUGAAAGCCCUGCUCCUUACCUCACUUACCUUGAAAACCCUAUCAGAGAUUCUGUAAGUUGGUUCUGAGUUGAUUCUGUUACAAUGGUACCUAACAAUAACAACGCGUUAGUUUUGAGGAUGGUACAUAAGAGGCUUUACGACAUUAAUUUCAUAUUUCUUUUCAAUUCCAUUUCUACGGUGACUAAUAAAAUGCAGCUUCAUGCUCUUCUUGGUAAGUUG
rnacentral:lncRNA from 1 species